rnacentral:rRNA from 1 species
CAUAAGACUGGGAUAACUCCGGGAAACCGGGGCUAAUACCGGAUAACAUUUUGAACUGCAUGGUUCGAAAUUGAAAGGCGGCUUCGGCUGUCACUUAUGGAUGGACCCGCGUCGCAUUAGCUAGUUGGUGAGGUAACGGCUCACCAAGGCAACGAUGCGUAGCCGACCUGAGAGGGUGAUCGGCCACACUGGGACUGAGACACGGCCCAGACUCCUACGGGAGGCAGCAGUAGGGAAUCUUCCGCAAUGGACGAAAGUCUGACGGAGCAACGCCGCGUGAGUGAUGAAGGCUUUCGGGUCGUAAAACUCUGUUGUUAGGGAAGAACAAGUGCUAGUUGAAUAAGCUGGCACCUUGACGGUACCUAACCAGAAAGCCACGGCUAACUACGUGCCAGCAGCCGCGGUAAUACGUAGGUGGCAAGCGUUAUCCGGAAUUAUUGGGCGUAAAGC